UUUCCGUAGGUGAACCUGCGGAAGGAUCAUUAGUGAAUAACCUAGGUUCGAGGACUUUCUCUGACCCGCAAGCAUGUGCACGCACGAAUGCCCCCAGACACAUCCAUCUCACCCCUAUGUACACCACUGCUUGGGUCCCCCUCUCGCUUUAUCGAAAGGGGGAUUACGCAUUCACACACUCUUUAUAUUCAGUGAAAAAUGUAUUUAUUGUUUUUCCUAUCUCGCGAUCCAAACAACUUUCAACAACGGAUCACUUGCCUCCCUCAUCGAUGAAGAACC
rnacentral:misc_RNA from 1 species